rnacentral:rRNA from 1 species
UACGGGGGGAGCAAGCGUUGUUCGGAUUUACUGGGCGUAAAGGGCGCGUAGGCGGCCUUCUAAGUCGGACGUGAAAUCCCUCGGCUUAACCGAGGAACUGCGUCCGAUACUGAAAGGCUUGAGUCCGGGAGAGGGAUGUGGAAUUCCAGGUGUAGCGGUGAAAUGCGUAGAUAUCUGGAGGAACACCGGUGGCGAAGGCGGCAUCCUGGACCGGCAUUGACGCUGAGGCGCGAAAGCUAGGGGAGCAAACGGG